rnacentral:rRNA from 1 species
UGGGGAAUAUUGCACAAUGGGCGCAAGCCUGAUGCAGCCAUGCCGCGUGUGUGAAGAAGGCCUUCGGGUUGUAAAGCACUUUCAGCGAGGAGGAAGGUGGUGAACUUAAUACGUUCAUCAAUUGACGUUACUCGCAGAAGAAGCACCGGCUAACUCCGUGCCAGCAGCCGCGGUAAUACGGAGGGUGCAAGCGUUAAUCGGAAUUACUGGGCGUAAAGCGCACGCAGGCGGUUUGUUAAGUCAGAUGUGAAAUCCCCGGGCUCAACCUGGGAACUGCAUUUGAAACUGGCAAGCUAGAGUCUCGUAGAGGGGGGUAGAAUUCCAGGUGUAGCGGUGAAAUGCGUAGAGAUCUGGAGGAAUACCGGUGGCGAAGGCGGCCCCCUGGACGAAGACUGACGCUCAGGUGCGAAAGCGUGGGGAGCAAACAGGAUUAGAUACCCCUGGUAGUCCACGCUGUAAACGAUGUCGAUUUUGGAGGUUGUGCCCUUGAGGCGUGGCUUCCGGAGCUAACGCGUUAAAUCGACCGCCUGGGGAGUACGGCCGCAAGGUUAAAACUC